rnacentral:rRNA from 1 species
UGGGGAAUAUUGCACAAUGGGCGCAAGCCUGAUGCAGCCAUGCCGCGUGUAUGAAGAAGGCCUUCGGGUUGUUAAGUACUUUCAGCGGGGAGGAAGGGAGUAAAGUUAAUACCUUUGCUCAUUGACGUUACCCGCAGAAGAAGCACCGGCUAACUCCGUGCCAGCAGCCGCGGUAAUACGGAGGGUGCAAGCGUUAAUCGGAAUUACUGGGCGUAAAGCGCGCGCAGGCGGUUUGUUAAGUCAGAUGUGAAAUCCCCGGGCUCAACCUGGGAACUGCAUCUGAUACUGGCAAGCUUGAGUCUCGUAGAGGGGGGUAGAAUUCCAGGGGUAGCGGGGAAAUGCGUGGAGAUCUGGAGGAAUACCGGUGGCGAAGGCGGCCCCCUGGACGAAGACUGACGCUCAGGUGCGAAAGCGUGGGGAGCAAACAGG